rnacentral:rRNA from 1 species
AAACAUCGCCUCUUGAACCCGCAUAAGAGGUCCAGCCUGCCCAGUGACCCUGUUCAACGGCCGCGGUAUCCUAACCGUGCGAAGGUAGCGUAAUCACUUGUUCUUUAAAUGUGGACUAGUAUGAACGGCAUCACGAAGGUUAUACUGUCUCCUUUUUCUAAUCAGUGAAACUAAUCUCCCCGUGAAGAAGCGAGGAUAAAAAUAUAAGACGAGAAGACCCUAUGGAGCUUUAAACAAAGUAGCACUCGCCACAUAAAUAAGAAAUUCCAGAAUCAUCAUUUACCUCAGGCAAUCUGACUACACGUUUUUGGUUGGGGUGACCGCGGAGCACAACACAACCUCCAUGUUGAAAGAAAGUUUUCUAAACUAAGAACUACACCUCUAAGUAUCAAAAAAUUGACAUCCAUUGACCCAAUAAAUUUGAACAACGAACCAAGUUACCCUAGGGAUAACAGCGCAAUCCACUUCAAGAGCCCCUAUCGACAA